AUCUUAUGGUGAGGGCAUCUACGUAUAACUCUUUGAAUCUUUCCCAUGCCUCUUAUAGGUACUAAUCAUCCAUUUUCGAGAAAGUGGUGAUCUUAUUUUGUAGUU
rfam:Gossypium hirsutum cultivar TM-1 chromosome 24, whole genome shotgun sequence